UUGAAUGCGUAACCUUGAUGCAAGAAUACAUGUAAGUACCUAACUUGAUUUUGUGGUGGCAAGCCGAGAUGGUUGAGCAUGGACUCGACUUGAGUGGUAGUCUAAAGUAAUCUGAUAGGCGGGAACUUAGACUUUUCCCCAUUCCAAUAUUCACAACAGCUAGUUACAACAAUAACCUCAUGGAUAUUCAAUCACCAGUU
rnacentral:lncRNA from 1 species